rfam:Heligmosomoides polygyrus genome assembly, scaffold: HPBE_scaffold0003395
GCGCCGAUGGUGUAAAGGCGUAGAGCAUUCCCGCCCGGUCAGAGGGAGGUGCGGGUUCGAGUCCCGCCUGGCGCU